GACGUAGGAUGCAAGCGUUGUCCGGAAUUAUUGGGCGUAAAGAGUUCGUAGGUGGUUUGCCAAGUCUGACGUUAAAUCCCGAAGCUCAACUUCGGUUCGGCAUCGGAAACUGGCAGGCUAGAGUCUGGUAGAGGCAAGGGGAAUUCCCGGUGUAGCGGUGAAAUGCGCAGAUAUCAGGAGGAACACCGGUGGCGAAGGCGGGUCUCUGGGCAACAACUGACGCUGAGGAGCGAAAGCGUGGGGAGCGAACAGG
rnacentral:rRNA from 1 species